AUACGUAGGUGACAAGCGUUAUCCGGAUUUACUGGGUGUAAAGGGCGUGUAGGCGGUUUAGCAAGUCAGAAGUGAAAUUCCCGGGCUUAACUUGGGCGCUGCUUCUGAAACUGCUUUACUUGAGUGCUGGAGAGGAUAGUGGAAUUCCUAGUGUAGCGGUAAAAUGCGCAGAUAUUAGGAAGAACACCGGUGGCGAAGGCGGCUAUCUGGACAGUAACUGACGCUGAGGCGCGAAAGCACGGGGAGCAAACAGGAUUAGAUACCCUGGUAGUCCGUGCCGUAAACGAUGAAUACUAGGUGUAGGGGGUAUCGACUCCCUCUGUGCCGCAGUUAACACAUUAAGUAUUCCACCUGGGGAGUACGGCCGCAAGGUUGAAACUCAAAUGAAUUGGCGGGG
rnacentral:rRNA from 1 species